UGGGGAAUUUUGGACAAUGGGCGAAAGCCUGAUCCAGCAAUGCCGCGUGUGUGAAGAAGGCCUUCGGGUUGUAAAGCACUUUUGUCCGGAAAGAAACCCUUGGCUCUAAUACAGUCGGGGGAUGACGGUACCGGAAGAAUAAGCACCGGCUAACUACGUGCCAGCAGCCGCGGUAAUACGUAGGGUGCAAGCGUUAAUCGGAAUUACUGGGCGUAAAGCGUGCGCAGGCGGUUUGCUAAGACCGAUGUGAAAUCCCCGGGCUCAACCUGGGAACUGCAUUGGUGACUGGCAGGCUAGAGUAUGGCAGAGGGGGGUAGAAUUCCACGUGUAGCAGUGAAAUGCGUAGAGAUGUGGAGGAAUACCGAUGGCGAAGGCAGCCCCCUGGGCCAAUACUGACGCUCAUGCACGAAAAGCGUGGGGAGCAAAACAGGAUUAGAUACCCUGGUAGUCCACGCCCUAAAACGAUGUCAACUAGUUGUUGGGGAUUCAUUUCCUUAGUAACGUAGCUAACGCGUGAAGUUGACCGCCUGGGGAGUACGGUCGCAAGAUUAAAACUCAAAGGAAUUGACGGGGUCAUAGCUGUUUCCU
rnacentral:rRNA from 1 species